GACGAACGCUGGCGGCGUGCUUAACACAUGCAAGUCGAACGGAAAGGCCCUGCUUUUGUGGGGUGCUCGAGUGGCGAGCGGGUGAGUAACACGUGAGUAACCUUCCCUUGACUUUGGGAUAACUUCAGGAAACUGGGGCUAAUACCGGAUAGGAGCUCCUGCUGCAUGGUGGGGGUUGGAAAGUUUCGGCGGUUGGGGAUGGACUCGCGGCUUAUCAGCUUGUUGGUGGGGUAGUGGCUUACCAAGGCUUUGACGGGUAGCCGGCCUGAGAGGGUGACCGGCCACAUUGGGACUGAGAUACGGCCCAGACUCCUACGGGAGGCAGCAGUGGGGAAUAUUGCACAAUGGGCGGAAGCCUGGUGCAGCAACGCCGCGUGCGGGAUGACGGCCUUCGGGUUGUAAACCGCUUUCGCCUGUGACGAAGCGUGAGUGACGGUAAUGGGUAAAGAAGCACCGGCUAACUACGUG
rnacentral:rRNA from 1 species